GUUUGAUACCUGGCUCAGAGCGAACGCUGGCGGCAGGCCUAACACAUGCAAGUCGAACGAACUCUUCGGAGUUAGUGGCGGACGGGUGAGUAACACGUGGGAACGUGCCUUUAGGUUCGGAAUAACUCAGGGAAACUUGUGCUAAUACCGAAUGUGCCCUUCGGGGGAAAGAUUUAUCGCCUUUAGAGCGGCCCGCGUCUGAUUAGCUAGUUGGUGAGGUAAAGGCUCACCAAGGCGACGAUCAGUAGCUGGUCUGAGAGGAUGAUCAGCCACAUUGGGACUGAGACACGGCCCAAACUCCUACGGGAGGCAGCAGUGGGGAAUCUUGCGCAAUGGGCGAAAGCCUGACGCAGCCAUGCCGCGUGAAUGAUGAAGGUCUUAGGAUUGUAAAAUUCUUUCACCGGGGACGA
rnacentral:rRNA from 1 species